ACUGAGCUACAUACGGGUUCUUCGAGCCAUAGCAACGAGACUGGCGUUGAAAACAAACCGUCGCCAUUACUCUUUAACCUGUCGACCUAUGCUGGUUAAACCCGUCAUUCUGCCUCCAAAAUGCCGAAAAACUGUGUUGUUUUUGGUUGUGCUAACCACAACUGGAAACAGGGAAAACAAAGGUUGUAUUUUGUUCUGCCAAAGCGCGAUAAAAGCCCACAGAGACGAGACAAAUGGCUCGCAGCUUUACACCGGGAAAACGAGGACGGUUCUCACUGGAGUCCCCCAAAGGCCCGGGUCGUGUGUUCGGAUCACUUCGUUUCUGGGCAAAAACCAAGUAUAAUUCCAAGGAUUCUUAUUUUAUCUUAAUCCUCUUCAUCCCUGACGGGACAUAAGGCUUCGACGAUCUGCCUCCAUCUGGACCGGUCUUGAGCAACAUGCUGUGCCUCGCCCCAGGUCAGGUUCAUCUCCUUCAGCUCAGCUGUCACCAUACGCCGCCACGUGUUCUUCCCAGGAGGGGCCAAGAAACAGUUGUGCCCAAGCAGGACCAAGUCUCCAUGUCGCUGGAAGCUGCGAGGCAGAUCUACUCUCAGCUCCUCCGUCCAUCUUUCUCCAUGAGAUUCCAACAGCUCAAGGAGGACUUCUUCUAGUUUAUUGCCUCUCCUCCUGCCUUUCUCCUUCUUUUUCAGUAGAGAAGACUGUGGAAGAUGUAAGGAUGAGUUACUAGCAGGGAUGCAACGCUAUUGUAGAUACCCAGGUAUUUCAAAGUCUUCACAAUAAUGCCGUGACCUGUGAGGGUAUCAAACAAUGUUUACAUUGUCACUUUGAAGACACUCAACCGUCUUUGUUUUCAAUACUUGCUUGAAGCAUUUAAGUACCAUCUUAAAACUCAUUUGUAUACUCAAGCCUUUAAAUAGACCCCCCUUUUAGACCAGUUGAUCUGC